AUCAGCAAAAAAUGCGUCUAAUAUAAGUUCAUUCCAGACUAAAAAUGAAAAAGAAAAGUAAAAAAUGAAAAUCAAAGAGGAAACUUUUUCCGUAGAUGGAGAAAAAAUUGGCUAUUUUUUCUAUUUUCACAGGCGUACUUUUCCAAUGGUGACAUAAGAAUUAAUCCUGUAUGUUACAUAAGAUUUAUACUAUGCCAAUAUUAAAAUUAUACACAGAAAAAAAAAGGAUUUCUUGGCGCAAGGAAACAUUUUCUUAACCCAUCACGAUUAUUGGUCUAUCCUGGAGGCUGCGCGACCAGGCCUGUUUCAUAUUGGCCGCCACAUCAGAAGACAACUGAUUCUCAGUGCUUUGCCAUUGGCGAGGGGCGGAGCUUUUUCUCUCUCACUUAAGCUUAAGCAAAAGCUUAACUCUAUCGUUUAUAUUUUUAUAUUCUUUCUUUAUCUGGUUUUAUAAUAUUACACUAUGUUCUUUGUCUUUUUGGUAAAUCCUCUACUAUCUUUCAGCAUCUUAUUCACUGACCAACUUGUUACCACAAUUCUCACUUCUCUGCAUUGUUACUAUACACAUACACCUAUAUAUACAUAUAUAUGUUUAAAAUACAUGCUAUUCAAACCAGUGGAUUCAUUCGUCCUUGCCAGUAUCCAACACUUAACCUUUUUCUUUUGUACUCCUACCCUGUACUGAA